rnacentral:rRNA from 1 species
UACGUAGUUAGCCGUGACUUUCUGGUUGAUUACCGUCAAAUAAAGGCCAGUUACUACCUCUAUCCUUCUUCACCAACAACAGAGCUUUACGAUCCGAAAACCUUCUUCACUCACGCCGGCGUUGCUCCAUCACGACUUGCGUCCAUUGUGGAAGAUUCCCUACUGCUGCCUCCCGUAGGAGUUUGGGCCGUGUCUCAGUCCCAAUGUGGCCGAUCAGUCUCUCAACUCGGCUAUGCAUCGUCGCCUUGGUAAGCCGUUACCUUACCAACUAGCUAAUUGCGACCGCGGGGCCAUCCCUUAGCCGACAGCUUACGCCGCCUUUCAAAAGCUGAUCACUGCGAUCUGCUUUCUAUCCGGUAUUAGCACCUGUUUCCAAAUGGUAUCCCAGGACUUAGGGGCAGGUUCCCCACGUGUUACUCACCCAUCCGCCGCUCGCUUUCCCAAGUCAUUACCGAAGUAAAUCUGUUGUUCCGCUCGCUCGACUUGCAUGUAUUAGGCACGCCGCAGCGUCUCCG